rnacentral:rRNA from 1 species
GUUUGAUUCUGGCUCAGAACGAACGCUGGCAGCGUGGAUUAGGCAUGCAAGUCGAACGAGAAUCCGGGGGCUCAAGUUUUCGGACGAGAGUUCCUGGAGGAGAGUGGCGGAAGGGUGAGUAACGCGUGGGCAAUCUGCCUCCAAGCCGGGGACAACCUGCCGAAAGGCGAGCUAAUACCGGAUGUGGCGGUUCCGCGCAUGCGGGACAGGCUAAAGGUAGGGAUCCUUCGGGACCUGCCGCUUGGAGAGGAGCCUGCGUCCUAUCAGCUUGUUGGUGAGGUAACGGCUCACCAAGGCAUACGGGUAGCUGGUCUUAGAGGAUGGUCAGCCACACUGGGACUGAGACACUGCCCAGACUCCUACGGGAGGCUGCAGUCGAGGAUCAUUGGCAAUGCGCGAAAGCGUGACCAUGCAACGCUGCGUGGAGGAUGAAGGCCUUCGGGUUGUAAACUCCUGUCAUCCGGGAACAACGAUUCCGCUCACAACAUGGGCGGGAAGUGAUAGUACCGGAAGAGGAAGCGGCUGCUAACUCUGUGCCAGCAGCAGCGGUAAUACAGAGGCCGCGAGCGUUGUUCGGAUUUACUGGGCGUAAAGGGUGCGUAGGUGGUUCCGUGUGUCGGGUGUGAAAGCCCGUCGCUCAACGGCGGAAGGCCAUUCGAGACUGCGGAACUUGAGUGCAGGAAGGGGGAGCGGAAUUCUCGGUGUAGCGGUGAAAUGCGUUGAUAUCGAGAAGAACACCGGCGGCGAAGGCGGCUCCCUGGAAUGCAACUGACACUGAGGCACGAAAGCUGGGGGAGCAAACAGGAUUAGAUACCCUGGUAGUCCCAGCCCUAAGCGGUGCGCACUUGGUGUGGGGAGAAUUGACCCUCCCCGUGCCGGAGCUAACGCGUUAAGUGCGCCGCCUGGGGAGUACGGCCGCAAGGCUAAAACUCAAAGAAAUUGACGGGGGCCCGCACAAGCGGAGGAGCAUGUGGCUCAAUUCGAUGCAACGCGAAGAACCUUACCAGGGCUUGACAUGUAGCUGCAGAUCCCGCGAAAGUGGGAUGGCCUUCGAGGGUGCUACACAGGUGCUGCAUGGCUGUCGUCAGUUCGUGCCGUGAGGUGUUGGGUUAAGUCCCGCAACGAACGCAACCCUUGUGGCUAGUUGCCACCGCCGGUGAUGAGCCGGCGAGCACUCUAGCCAGACUGCCCGUACAAGCGGGAGGAAGGUGGGGAUGACGUCAAGUCAGUAUGGCCUUUAUGCCCUGGGCUGCACACGUGCUACAAUGGUCGGUACAGAGGGAUGCAAGACCGCAAGGUGGAGCAAAUCCUCAAAACUGGCCCCAGUUCAGAUUGAAGGCUGCAACUCGCCUUCAUGAAGUCGGAUUCGCUAGUAAUGGCGCAUCAGCUACGGCGCCGUGAAUGCGUUCCCGGGCCUUGUACACACCGCCCGUCACAUCAUGAAAGCCGUCUGCACCCGAAGUCGCUGUACCAACCCGCAAGGGAGGGAGGCGCCGAAGGUGUGGGUGGUGAUUGGGAUGAAGUCGUAACAGGGUA